GCAGCCGCGGUAAUACGGAGGAUGCGAGCGUUAUCCGGAUUUAUUGGGUUUAAAGGGAGCGUAGGUGGUUUGUUAAGCCAGCUGUGAAAUACUGUAGCUCAACUACAGCCGUGCAGUUGGAACUGGCAGACUUGAGUACACAAGAGGAAGGUGGAAUUCAUGGUGUAGCGGUGAAAUGUUUAGAUAUCAUGAAGAACUCCGAUUGCGAAGGCAGCCUUCUGGGGUGUAACUGACACUGAUGCUCGAAAGUGUGGGUAUCGAACAGGAUUAGAUACCCC
rnacentral:rRNA from 1 species